rnacentral:rRNA from 1 species
GACGAACGCUGGCGGCGUGCCUAAUGCAUGCAAGUAGAACGCACAGUUUAUACCGUAGCUUGCUACACCAUAGACUGUGAGUUGCGAACGGGUGAGUAACGCGUAGGUAACCUGCCUGGUAGCGGGGGAUAACUAUUGGAAACGAUAGCUAAUACCGCAUAAUAUUAAUUAUUGCAUGAUAAUUAAUUGAAAGGUGCAAUUGCACCACUACCAGAUGGACCUGCGUUGUAUUAGCUAGUAGGUGAGGUAACGGCUCACCUAGGCGACGAUACAUAGCCGACCUGAGAGGGUGAUCGGCCACACUGGGACUGAGACACGGCCCAGACUCCUACGGGAGGCAGCAGUAGGGAAUCUUCGGCAAUGGACGAAAGUCUGACCGAGCAACGCCGCGUGAGUGAAGAAGGUUUUCGGAUCGUAAAGCUCUGUUGUAAGAGAAGAACGGGUGUGAGAGUGGAAAGUUCACACUGUGACGGUAGCUUACCAGAAAGGGACGGCUAACUACGUG